ACACAUGCAAGUCGAGCGGAGAUAGUGUGCUUGCACACUAUUUUAGCGGCGAACGGGUGAGUAAUGCCUAGGAAUCUGCCUGGUAGUGGGGGAUAACGUUCGGAAACGGACGCUAAUACCGCAUACGUCCUACGGGAGAAAGCAGGGGACCUUCGGGCCUUGCGCUAUCAGAUGAGCCUAGGUCGGAUUAGCUAGUUGGUGAGGUAAUGGCUCACCAA
rnacentral:rRNA from 1 species